rnacentral:rRNA from 1 species
GAUGAGCGCUAGCGGCAGGCCUAACACAUGCAAGUCGAGGGGUAACUAGAGUGGUAGCAAUAUUACUUUGGCUAGACCGGCGCACGGGUGCGUAACACGUAUGCAACCUACCUUAUACUGGGGAAUAACUUCGAGAAAUCGGCGCUAAUACCCCAUAACAUUGCGAAGAGGCAUCUCUUUGCAAUUAAAGCUCCGGCGGUAUAAGAUGGGCAUGCGUCCAAUUAGCUAGUUGGUGAGGUAACGGCUCACCAAGGCUACGAUUGGUAGGGGUUCUGAGAGGAUGAUCCCCCACACUGGUACUGAGACACGGACCAGACUCCUACGGGAGGCAGCAGUGAGGAAUAUUGCACAAUGGACGAAAGUCUGACGCAGCCAUGCCGCGUGCAGGAUGACGGCCCUAUGGGUUGUAAACUGCUUUUGUACGGGAAUAAACCCUUCUACGUGUAGGAGGCUGAAGGUACCGUAAGAAUAAGCACCGGCUAACUCCGUGCCAGCCGCCGCGGUAA